GAUGAACGCUGGCGGCGUGCCUAAUACAUGCAAGUCGGGCGAACGGACGAGGAGCUUGCUUCUCUGAUGUUAGCGGCGGACGGGUGAGUAACACGUGGAUAACCUACCUAUAAGACUGGGAUAACUUCGGGAAACCGGAGCUAAUACCGGAUAAUAUUUUGAACCGCAUGGUUCAAAAGUGAAAGACGGUCUUGCUGUCACUUAUAGAUGGAUCCGCGCUGCAUUAGCUAGUUGGUAAGGUAACGGCUUACCAAGGCAACGAUGCAUAGCCGACCUGAGAGGGUGAUCGGCCACACUGGAACUGAGACACGGUCCAGACUCCUACGGGAGGCAGCAGUAGGGAAUCUUCCGCAAUGGGCGAAAGCCUGACGGAGCAACGCCGCGUGAGUGAUGAAGGUCUUCGGAUCGUAAAACUCUGUUAUUAGGGAAGAACAUAUGUGUAAGUAACUGUGCACAUCUUGACGGUACCUAAUCAGAAAGCCACGGCUAACCACGUG
rnacentral:rRNA from 1 species